CUUGAUGUUCGCUAUUCGGGAGGCUCCGCAGGCUUCCACGGGGUUUUCUCCUUUUGAGUUGUUAUACGGACGGAGACCCUGGGGCAUUCUUGAUCUAAUAAGGGAAAGAUGGGAAGAAGGAGAGGAUCAUUCUAAAGGGGUGCUACAGCAGAUAGCAGAAAUGAGAAACCAGCUGCAGUUGGCCUGGGAGAUGGCCAAAGAGAAUUUAGGCCAAGCCCAGGCUAGGCAAAAGGCCUCUUACCACAAAAGAGUAAGGCCUCGUAGUUUUGAACCCCAACAAAAGGUGUUAGUAUUGUUACCCACUGACACGUCCAAAUUCUUAGCCAAGUGGCACGGGCCAUACACAGUGUUAAGAAAGUUAAAUGAGGUAGACUAUGAAGUAGAAACCCCAGACCGAAGGAAAAAAACCCAGGUGUUCCAUGUAAAUCUAUUAAAGGAAUGGGUAGACCGCGAGGCAUUGUUCGGGUCUGAGGUGGACGAUGAGUUAGGACCGGAUAGGGAAGAUCUCACAUCAGAAGGUGACGUGGUUAUAGGAGACCUUUUGUCAGGGGAACAGAAGCAACAAGCGUUACAUUUAAAAGAAGAUUUUCCCCGGGUGUUCUCCACCACACCUGGGUGUACUCAGCUGGUAGAACAUCACAUUGAGACUAUCCCGGGAGAAGUAGUAAGGGUUAGUGGAAGGUCCUGGCCCAGACAUGUAACGGGAGUCAUCAAUGAAGAAGUGGAGGAAAUGCUAAAAUUGGGGGUGAUUGAGCCUUCCAACGGGCCUUGGAGGAGCUUCCCCAUGAUGGUACCCAAACCAGACGGGUCAUUGAGAUUUUGCAUUGAUUUCCGUAAGGUCAAUGCCAUAUCCAGGUUCAAUGCUUACCCGAUGCCCAAGGUGGGGGACUUGUUGGAUAGAUUGGGGGGGCCAAAUACCUGAGUUCAAUCGACCUAACGAAAGGAUAUUGGCAAAUUCCGUUAUGCCCCCAGGAUAAGGAAAAAACGGCUUUCUGUACCCCUAAGGGGUUGUUCCAAUUUAAAAAGAUGCCGUUUGGACUGCAUGGCGCGGCAGCCACCUUCCAACGCCUAAUGGAUCGGGUUUUAGAACCCCUACAAGAUUGUGCCGCUGCCUAUAUAGACGACAUUAUUAUUUUUAGUAGCUCUUGGGAAGAACAUCUAACCCAUUUGAGGAGAGUACUAGAGAGGCUACAGGAAGCGGGGUUAACCGUCAAUCCCAAAAAAUGCAAAAUAGGGUUACCUAAAGUGGAGUAUCUGGGAUAUAAGGUG
rnacentral:lncRNA from 1 species